rnacentral:rRNA from 1 species
GACGAACGCUGGCGGCGUGCUUAACACAUGCAAGUCGAACGGAAAGGCCCCUUUGGGGGUACUCGAGUGGCGAACGGGCGAGUAACACGCGAGUAACUUGCCUUUCACUUCGGGAUAACUUCCGUAAACUGGGGCUAAUACCGGAUAGGAAUCCUUGCUGCCUGGUGGGGGGUGGAAAGCUUCGGGGGUUUUGGAGGGACUCGCGGCCUUUCAGCUUGGUGGUGGGGUAGUUGCUUACCAAGGCUUUGACGGGUAGCCGGCCCGGGAGGGGGACCGGCCACAAUGGGACUGGGAUACGGGCCAGACGCCGACGGGAGGCAGGAGGUGGGAAAUUUGCACAAUGGGGGGGAGCCUGAUGCAGCAACGCCGCGGGCGGGAUGACGGCCUUCGGGUUGUAAACCGCUUUCAGCAGGGGCGAAGCUUGUAGUGACGGUACCUGCAGAAGAAGCACCGGCUAACUACGUG